rnacentral:ncRNA from 1 species
GUAAUAACCGUGACCAGGAGGAGUAAAAGUAUUUUUACAUUUUAGAGAGGAGUUCAUGUGCUGAAAGAACUCUAUGUGAAGACUUUGAAGGUAGCCUGCGAGUUGAGUUUCUGAAUAGAGAAGUUAGUAAGAAAUUCCGUUUGCUGCGUUAAAGCAUAAGUGGUAAGUAUAAACUUACAAUUAAGGUGGUACCGCGGAAUUUUAAGCAUUUCGUCCUUUUA